AUUGAACGCUGGCGGCAUGCUUUACACAUGCAAGUCGGACGGCAGCACAGAGAAGCUUGCUUCUUGGGUGGCGAGUGGCGAACGGGUGAGUAACAUAUCGGAACGUACCGAGUAAUGGGGGAUAACUAAUCGAAAGAUUAGCUAAUACCGCAUAUUCUCUGAGGAGGAAAGCAGGGGACCUUCGGGCCUUGCGUUAUUCGAGCGGCCGAUAUCUGAUUAGCUAGUUGGUGGGGUAAAGGCCUACCAAGGCGACGAUCAGUAGCGGGUCUGAGAGGAUGAUCCGCCACACUGGGACUGAGACACGGCCCAGACUCCUACGGGAGGCAGCAGUGGGGAAUUUUGGACAAUGGGCGCAAGCCUGAUCCAGCCAUGCCGCGUGUCUGAAGAAGGCCUUCGGGUUGUAAAGGACUUUUGUCAGGGAAGAAAAGGCUGUUGCUAAUAUCGACAGCUGAUGACGGUACCUGAAGAAUAAGCACCGGC
rnacentral:rRNA from 1 species